UUCCCAGUGUCUUAGUUGAUAAAGAAUCUGUCUGUGAUGCAGGAGACCUGGGUUCAAUCCCUGGGUGGGGAA
rnacentral:tRNA from 1 species